UGGGGAAUAUUGCGCAAUGGGCGAAAGCCUGACGCAGCCACGCCGCGUGGGUGAUGAAGGCCUUCGGGUUGUAAAGCCCUGUCGGGAGGGACGAAUACUGACGGUACCUCCAAAGAAAGCACCGGCUAACUCCGUGCCAGCAGCCGCGGUAAUACGGAGGGUGCGAGCGUUGCUCGGAAUUAUUGGGCGUAAAGCGUACGCAGGCGGCCGUACAAGUCGGGUGUGAAAGCCCGGGGCUCAACCCCGGAAUUGCGCCCGAGACUGUACAGCUUGAGUGCGGGAGAGGGAAGCGGAAUCCGUGGUGUAGAGGUGAAAUUCGUAGAUAUCACGGGGAACACCAGUGGCGAAAGCGGCUUCCUGGCCCGACACUGACGCUCAUGUACGAAAGCGUGGGGAGCAA
rnacentral:rRNA from 1 species